rnacentral:rRNA from 1 species
CCUACGGGAGGCUGCAGUGGGGAAUCUUCCGCAAUGGGCGAAAGCCUGACGGAGCAACGCCGCGUGAUCGAAUGAAGGCCUUCGGGUUGUAAAGAUCUGUUGACAGGGACGAAUAAGCAAUGCAAAUAGUUUUGUGUAUGACGGUACCUGUUUAGAAAGCAUCGGCUAACUCCGUGCCAGCAGCCGCGGUAAUACGGAGGAUGCGAGCGUUAUCCGGAUUUAUUGGGUUUAAAGGGUGCGCAGGCGGGAGAUCAAGUCAGCGGUAAAAUGUCGGGGCUCAACCCCGGCCGGCCGUUGAAACGGGUUUUCUAGAGUUGGAGAGAAGUAUGCGGAAUUCGUGGUGUAGCGGUGAAAUGCAUAGAUAUCACGAAGAACUCCGAUUGCGAAGGCAGCAUACCGGCUCCAUACUGACGCUGAGGCACGAAAGCGUGGGGAUCGAACAGGAUUAGAUACCCCUGUAGUC